GCUGACUCCUUUGGCGAGGCGAGAGGACCAGGGCGGGGCCGUGUGGGUGCGGCCAUGCCUGCCGUGCAGAGUCCGCCCUGGCGAGGCCUGUCCCUGGCUGAGGGAAGCGCGGCGUAAGGAUGAGACGAUCACUUGCUCCAGGGGAAGUCUUAGGAGCCCUAUGAAAAAAUCAAGGAACUGAAGUCUUCUGUCAACAGCCCUGAGAAUGAACUUGGCUUUUGAGUCUCCAGCCCCAAUCAAGUCUUCAGAGACUUUAGUCUCAGCCAGCAACUUUACUGCAGCCUUAUAAGGGAUCCUUUUCAACCAGAAACCAUAAAAUAUACUCCUGAGUGACUCGUGGUCGAGCCUGGCCUCCACUGCAUUGAAGGAAAUUUUGGUGCUAUCGUCUCUUCAUUCUCUGCCUUUCUGUCUAUCUGUUUAUAUCUUUAAAAAAGAAAAGAGGGAGUUGGGCGGGUUAAGUGCAG